ensembl:lncRNA MIR548XHG MIR548X host gene
GGCAUUCAAGCCUGCAACGGCAACCCCCUUUGGGUCUCCUCCCUUUGUAUGGGAGCUCUGUUUUCACUCUAUUUCACUCUAUUAAAUCUUGCAACUGCACUCUUCUGGUCCAUGUUUGUUACAGCUCGAGCUGAGCUUUCACUCACCGUCCACCACUGCUGUUUGCUGCCGUCGCAGACCUGCCGCUGACUCCCAUCCCUCCGGAUCCGGCAGGGUGUCCACUGUGCUUCUGAUCCAGCGAGGCGCCCAUUGCUGCUCCUGAUUGGGCUAAAGGCUUGCCGUUGUUCCUGCACGGCUAAGUGCCCGGGUUCGUCCUAAUCAAGCUAAACAGUAGUCACUGGGUUCCACGGUUCUCUUCCGUGACCCACGGCUUCUGACAGAGCUAUAACACUCACCACAUGGCCCAAGAUUCCAUUCCUUGGAAUCUGUGAGGCCAAGAACCCCAGGUUAGAGAACCUGAGGCUUGCCACCAUCUUAGAAGCGGCUUGCCACCAUCUUGGAAGUGGCUCGCCACCAUUUUGGCAACCAGGAAGGGACCUCCAAAGCGGGAGAAAGCAUUUAUGGUGAGGAGAAAAGCAGCUGGUAUCACACUCUACCCAAGUCCCAAAAGCAGGUUCACAUAACUCCUGUCUUCAUUAUCUGAUAUCCGUAUGAAGAAUGUAAGAUAGAAAAAAACAUUAGCAUUUGAGAGGAUUGAAAGAGAAGCAUUCUCAGCAGAGCCAAGAUUCACUUAGAACAAAAGGGUAAGUAGGUACUUAAUGUAAUGUGCAUGUGAUUAUUAUUUUUAUUUUUGAAACACUGAGCCUUUGGAAUGAUGUCUUCAUUUCAGAUUGUUUUUGCAUUUCAUAAGGAAAGAAAAACUAUUUUAACAAAGUAGAUGCCAGACCUAUCAGAAUGAAAGAGAAACGUAGGUGUCCAUAUCUAACCAUAUAAAAACAUCUCUUUGUAAUAAUGUGCUUUGACAUUUUUGAUAUAUGAAGUGCUUGUGAGUCAUUAAUCAACUGUCUUUAAUUAAGAGAUUCAAAAAGGAAUUGAACAAACAGCAGAGAAUAGAAAUAAAACCUCACAUCCUUCCUCAGUCAUUUGCAGGGGGUGGUAGGUGUAGGAAUAAAAUUCAAAUGUUUAUGACAUAUUGGCUCUGGAUGCAAACUUAUGAUUAUCAUGCUUUCAUGUUGGGGGAUUCAAAAUGUAUUUUAAUCAUGUAAUUGCUCAGUUUUGAUUCUACCACUGAAUACAGUUUCCUGAAAAUCAAUAGUAAUCACCAUUACUCUCUUUCUCUAGUUUUCAAUGCAUACAUUUACUUCCUUGAAACAAACAUCUCUCUACGACCUCUUUGUCACAUUGAUGAAUGGUGUUAAAAGAAAGAAUAAUGUAUUUAAUAAAUCCCAACAUUCAGUGAAA